UAGCUAACAUCACCACCACCACCCCUCCCGCCCUCGUGCUCUCCGUCUCUCGCUGUGACUGUUGACAAGUUUUCGUCGUGGGCACGCAUUCGUUUCUGCAAGGUACCUUCUUCCCCCGCCUCCUCAUCUCUGCAGCCCUCCCCCGCCCCCACUCCUCCAUGGUAAUGCCAUCGCUUGGCCUCCGUAAAUCGAGGUAUGCCAAGGGGUGGAUCUUAUCCGCGGCGCCGCUGCUCUGCGGUGUGCUGAACUCCCUCCUCUAGUGUAUCCGUUGAGUGAGGAAGUGAUUGAAGGGUGGUGGUGCAAGAGGAUCCAGAAGUGCGGAUAAGUAUGCCUGCAACGGCUUGCUGCGCGUGUAAGGUGGCGUGCGCCGCGCAAGUCCUAGAGGAAUGAUCAUCAAGUCCAACUCUUGUCUUACUUGCAUGUAUGCUCCUCUUGCAUCUUCACGGCUCUCAUCUACGCGAGUCCUCUCCCGCGCCCUGCCACAUCCGAUGACCCCUCCCCCAUCCUCGACCCUCUUCUAUCGCUAUCCAUGCUAUGCUCGUUCUCUGUUAGCCCAGCCGCCUUUCUCUCUCUAUUUUACGUGUUGCUCCCAUGAAACGACUCCUUACACUCACUGAGGCUCUCGCUCGCUCUGCGCGUGCGUGCGUCAGGGGGCGUCGGCGGAGGGCACGCCUCCCUCCCCUUUUUCUUUGUUGCUGUUGCGCUUGUACCUCCGCGAUCUCUUCCUUCUCCCCUGAGCAGGCGCACGCCUCCCUGUCGAUAAGUGAGCGCGCGUGUGUGCGCGUCACCGGGAUUGGAUUUAUGUAUCCUCUUGCGCUUGCGGAGGUGGAUGGCGUGCACAUUCUUGGUUUACAGCGCGAGUGGGGCGGAGCACCGAACGAAAAAAAAAAGAGGAGCAACGCAAAGUCUUUAGCCGGGCCUCUGAGGGUGCGCACACACCCCUCCUUUUCUGUGCUGAGCAGCGGUUUCGUUAGAGGGGGUGGGUGGGGUAUCUCACCCACCAUGAUGCCGCGCCAUC
rnacentral:misc_RNA from 1 species